rnacentral:rRNA from 1 species
UGGGGAAUAUUGCACAAUGGACGGAAGUUUGAUGCAGCGACGCCGCGUGGAGGGUGUAGGCCUUCGGGUUGUGAACUCCUUUUUCUCGCGAAAAAGGCACAGUUUUGGCUGUGUUGAUGGUAGUGGGGGAAGAAGCGCCGGCUAACUACGUGCCAGCAGCCGCGGUAAUAAGUAGGGCGCGAGCGUUGUCCGGAUUUAUUGGGCGUAAAGAGCUCGUAGGUGGUUCGUUGCGUCUGUCGUGAAAGCCAGCAGCUUAACUGUUGGUCUGCGGUGGGUACGGGCGGGCUUGAGUGCGGUAGGGGUGACUGGAAUUCCUGGUGUAGCGGUGGAAUGCGCAGAUAUCAGGAGGAACACCGAUGGCGAAGGCAGGUCACUGGGCCGUUACUGACCCUGAGGAGCGAAAGCGUGGGGAGCGAACAGG